rnacentral:misc_RNA from 1 species
GUGAAUCAUCAAAUUUUUGAACGCAAAUUGCACUCUCUGGUAUUCCGGAGAGUAUGCCUGUUUGAGGGUCAGUUAAAAUAAAAAUCGGUGUGGUUUCUGCCUUUCGUGGUGACGCACCGGCUUUGGAUCGUCUUGCCUUCGGUUAAGUGACAUAAAAUUUUUCAUGCUUUUUUUCGAUGUAAUUUAAAUGUUUUUUCGUUCGGUUGCUAUUACU